GACGAACGCUGGCGGCGUGCUUAACACAUGCAAGUCGAGCGGUAAGGCCCUUUCGGGGGUACACGAGCGGCGAACGGGUGAGUAACACGUGGGUGACCUGCCCUCAGCUCUGGGAUAAGCCUGGGAAACCGGGUCUAAUACCGGAUAUGACUCCAUGACGCAUGUUGUGGGGUGGAAAGCCUUGUGCGGCUGAGGAUGGGCCCGCGGCCUAUCAGCUUGUUGGUGGGGUGAUGGCCUACCAAGGCGACGACGGGUAGCCGGCCUGAGAGGGCGACCGGCCACACUGGGACUGAGACACGGGCCCAGACUCCUACGGGAGGCAGCAGUGGGGAAUCUUGCGCAAUGGGCGAAAGCCUGACGCAGCGACGCCGCGUGAGGGAUGACGGCCUCGGUGUAAC
rnacentral:rRNA from 1 species